AUUGAACGCUGGCGGCAUGCCUUACACAUGCAAGUCGAACGGCAGCGGGCCUUCGGGUGCCGGCGAGUGGCGAACGGGUGAGUAAUGCAUCGGAACGUGCCAUUGAGUGGGGGGAUAACGUAGCGAAAGUUACGCUAAUACCGCAUAUUCUGUGAGCAGGAAAGCAGGGGACCGCAAGGCCUUGCGCUCUUUGAGCGGCCGAUGUCAGAUUAGCUAGUUGGUGAGGUAACGGCUUACCAAGGCGACGAUCUGUAGCGGGUCUGAGAGGAUGAUCCGCCACACUGGAACUGAGACACGGUCCAGACUCCUACGGGAGGCAGCAGUGGGGAAUUUUGGACAAUGGGCGCAAGCCUGAUCCAGCCAUGCCGCGUGAGUGAAGAAGGCCUGG
rnacentral:rRNA from 1 species